AACGAACGCUGGCGGCAUGCCUAACACAUGCAAGUCGAACGAAGUCUUCGGACUUAGUGGCGCACGGGUGCGUAACGCGUGGGAAUCUGCCCUUGGGUACGGAAUAACUCAGGGAAAUUUGUGCUAAUACCGUAUAAUGUCUUCGGGGCAAAGAUUUAUCGCCCAAGGAUGAGCCCGCGUAAGAUUAGCUAGUUGGUGGGGUAAAAGCCUACCAAGGCGACGAUCUGUAGCUGGUCUGAGAGGAUGAUCAGCCACACUGGGACUGAGACACGGCCCAGACUCCUACGGGAGGCAGCAGUGGGGAAUAUUGCACAAUGGGCGAAAGCCUGAUCCAGCCAUGCCGCGUGAGUGAUGAAGGCCUUAGGGUUGUAAAACUCUUUUACCAGGGAUGAUAAUGACGGUACCUGGAGAAUAAGCCCCGGCUAACUCCGUG
rnacentral:rRNA from 1 species